AUUGAACGCUGGCGGCAGGCCUAACACAUGCAAGUCGAACGAGUGGCGGACGGGUGAGUAAUGUCUGGGAAACUGCCUGAUGGAGGGGGAAAACUACUGGAAACGGUAGCUAAUACCGCAUACCAUCGGAUGUGCCCAGAUGGGAUUAGGUAGUAGGGGGGGUAAAGGCGCACCUAGGCGACGAUCCCUAGCUGGUCUGAGAGGAUGACCAGCCACACUGGAAUGGAGACACGGUCCAGACUCCUACGGGAGGCAGCAGUGGGGAAUAUUGCACAAUGGGCGCAAGCCUGAUGCAGCCAGGCCGCUUGUAUGACGAAGGCCUUCGGUUGUUAAAGUACUUUCAGCGGGGAGGCGUUACCCGCAUAAGAAGCACCGGCUAACUCCGUGCCAGCAGCCGCGGUAAUAC
rnacentral:rRNA from 1 species